GUACAUGAUUCCAAGCGGCAAAAACAUGGCCACAAUAUAGAGGCGCAAAACCCUAACAACUCCAAUUCAAUGGCGGGGUCGAGGGGGCAGGGGGGNNNNNCGGAUUCCGGAGCUAAUGGGUCGGGUCAAAAGAGAGAAGUGAAUAGAGAAAAUAAAGAAGAGGAGAUUCAAGAGGAGCCCAGCGAAGACGAUCAUAACAACAACAACGAUAACGAUAUUAAUGAGAGCAAGGAUUUGGGUAUUGAGGCUUCGUUUGGGGAGAACGUUCUGGACAUUGAAGGUAGAGAGAGGAGCACUAGGGAAUCCACUCCAUGCAGUUUGAUAAGGGACCCAGAAACCAUAAUAACCCCUGGUUCGACUACUAGACCUGCCAGCUCAACUGAAACUAGCAGGAGAAUACAGAACUCCGUGCAUAGACACAUCCCAACUGCACAUGAAAUGGAUGAGUUCUUUGCUGGAGCUGAAGAAGAGCAGCAGAGACAAUUUAUUGAGAAG
rnacentral:misc_RNA from 1 species